rnacentral:tRNA from 2 species
AGAGAUAUGGUGAAAUUUGGUAUACACAAUGGACUUAAAAUCCAUUAACAAUAAUUGUUGUAAGGGUUCAAGUCCCUUUAUCUCUA